AACGAACGCUGGCGGCAGGCUUAACACAUGCAAGUCGAACGCAUCCUUCGGGGUGAGUGGCAGACGGGUGAGUAACGCGUGGGAACGUGCCCUUCAGUUCGGGAUAACCCAGGGAAGCUUGGGCUAAUACCGGAUACGUGCGAGAGCAGAAAGAUUUAUCGCUGAAGGAUCGGCCCGCGUCUGAUUAGCUAGUUGGUGGGGUAAUGGCCCACCAAGGCGACGAUCAGUAGCUGGUCUGAGAGGAUGACCAGCCACAUUGGGACUGAGACACGGCCCAAACUCCUACGGGAGGCAGCAGUGGGGAAUAUUGGACAAUGGGCGCAAGCCUGAUCCAGCCAUGCCGCGUGAGUGAUGAAGGCCUUAGGGUCGUAAAGCUCUUUCGUCCGGGACGAUAAUGACGGUACCGGAAGAAGAAGCCCCGGCUAACUUCGUGCCAGCCGCCGCAGUAA
rnacentral:rRNA from 1 species